GGGGAAUUUUCCGCAAUGGGCGAAAGCCUGACGGGGCAAGACCGCGUGGGGGAUGAAGGUUUGUGGAUUGUAAACCCCUUUUGAUUGGGAAGAAUACUGACGGUACCAAUCGAAUAAGCCUCGGCUAACUCCGUGCCAGCAGCCGCGGUAAUACGGAGGAGGCAAGCGUUAUCCGGAAUUAUUGGGCGUAAAGCGUCCGUAGGUGGUUUAGUAAGUCUGCUGUUAAAGCGCGGGGCUUAACUCCGUAUCGGCAGUGGAAACUACUAGACUAGAGUGUGGUAGGGGUAGAGGGAAUUCCCAGUGUAGCGGUGAAAUGCGUAGAUAUUGGGAAGAACACCGGUGGCGAAAGCGCUCUACUGGGCCAUAACUGACACUGAUGGACGAAAGCUAGGGGAGCGAAAGGGAUUAGAUACCCCUGUAGUC
rnacentral:rRNA from 1 species